GCCUUAGUUCCCUUCAUGCUUUGAACCCUCUGGUACAGUUAGAAGCCAGGUAUUUCUCAUUUUUAUUGUGGGGUUGUGUCUGCUGCCACAUCUGAUAGGGAUUUCUUCACUCUUGGUUGAAUAAUGUAAUUGGGUAGUAUUAAAGGAACACUAUAGGGUCAGGAACACAAAAAUGUAUUCCUAACCCUAUAGUGUUAAAACCACCACCUAGCCCCCAGUUUCCCC